rnacentral:rRNA from 1 species
UACUAGAGUAGCACUCGCAUAUCAAUAAGCGGAGGAAAAGAAACUAACAAGGAUUCCCCUAGUAACGGCGAGUGAAGCGGGAAGAGCUCAAAUUUGAAAUCUUAAAGGGUUUCCCUUUACGAAUUGUAGUUUAAAGAAGUGUUUUCUGUUGAGGUUUUGGUAAAAGUUCUUUGGAAUAGGACAUCAUAGAGGGUGAGAAUCCCGUAUUUGACCUUUACUUUCAACUUUGUGAUACACUUUCAAAGAGUCGGAUUGUUUGGGAAUGCAGUCCAAAAUGGGUGGUAAAUUUCAUCUAAAGCUAAAUAUUGGCGAGAGACCGAUAGCGAACAAGUACCGUGAGGGAAAGAUGAAAAGAACUUUGAAAAGAGAGUUAAACAGUACGUGAAAUUGUCAAAAGGGAAGCGUUUGACACCAGUGUUGUUUUUCUGAAAAUCAAUUAAAGAACUGUUUAUGCUAAGUUGUUUAGACUUUAUCAGCUAACUGUUUAGUUUUGAGCUUUUCUUUAAUGCACUUUUCAGUUAACAAGUCAACAUCAAUUUCUUUUGCUGUAAAAAAGCCUGAGGAAGGUGGCUUGAGAUUCGUCUUAAGUGUUUAUAGCCUCUUGCCUAUGCAGUCGGAGAGAUUGAGGUCUGCAGCGUAGAUCCUUCGGGGCUAAAUGCAUUUGUGCUAAGUUAUAGCAUUUUAUAGACAACUUGUUGACUAUGAUUUGUCUUGUAGCUUACUCGCUUAUGUUAUUUUACCUACGCUUAGGAUGUUGAUCUCUCACAGUCGAGC